UACGUAGGGGGCUAGCGUUGUCCGGAUUUAUUGGGCGUAAAGAGCGUGUAGGCGGCCAGGUAGGUCUGCUGUGAAAUCCCGAGGCUCAACCUCGGGUCUGCAGUCGAUACGAGCAAACUAGAGUGUUGCAGGGGAGACUGGAAUUCCUGGUGUAGCGGUGAAAUGCGCAGAUAUCAGGAGGAACACCGGUGGCGAAGGCGGGUCUCUGGGCAACAACUGACGCUGAGGAGCGAAAGCGUGGGGAGCGAACAGG
rnacentral:rRNA from 1 species